AUUGAACGCUGGCGGCAGGCCUAACACAUGCAAGUCGAGCGAGCGGCGGACGGGUGAGUAAUGUCUGUGAAACUGCGUGAGGGAGGGGGAUAACACUUGGAAACGGUAGCUAAUAUCGCAUACCAUCAGAUGUGCCCAGAUGGGAUUAGCGAGUAGGUGGGGUAACGGCUCACCUAGGCGACGCUCCCUAGCUGGUCUGAGAGGAUGACCAGCCACACUGGAACGGAGACACGGUCCAGACUCCUACGGGAGGCAGCAGUGGGGAAUAUUGCACAAUGGGCGCAAGCCUGAUGCAGCCAUGCCGCGUGUGUGAAGAAGGCCUUCGGGUUGUAAAGCACUUUCAGCGGGGAGGCGUUACCCGCAGAAGAAGCACCGGCUAACUCCGUGCCAGCAGCCGCGGUAAUAC
rnacentral:rRNA from 1 species